CCCAGCCUUCCCGGCCCCGACGUCGGGAGGCGGCACUGAGGCAGCUGGGACCUCGGCCCUUCCCGGCUUGCAGCCCCAACUCCGAAUGCCCUGCGCGCCCCACACUUUGGGCCCUCCAGGCCCUUCCCCAUCCCAGAGCCUGCGGGGUGGGGCGCGGGGCAGGGCGUUCAACCACAUCCACGGCCGGGAACUGGGAGCCGCCGCAGCCGCGCCCAGCCCUCAGCUGGGGCCCAGCGGGCACGUGGUGCACAGGAGCAGGAACUGGAACCGCGCGCCCGCAGGGGAGUCGGACACCUGCUGCCACAGGCUGAACCGACCGGCGGUUUCCGUCUUAACCGUUUCCUCCGCGGUGGGAGUGAGCGCUGGGCGGCGGCGGAGGGCUGGGGCCAGAGAAAGGAAGGAUCCGAGGGACUGCCCAGUCGGGCAGCACCGAGCGCCUGCUAGUCUGUACCCCUCUGCUGUGUAUUUGGGGGUGGGUAAGACAACUGAGAGGAGGUGGGAGAGAUUCGGGACCCGGCUGACCCAAGGAGCAGCUCAGUAACGAACACCCGGGCCAAGAGCCGGCAAAGGAAGAAAGAUGGAGGUCUACAAAUAGAAACCCCAACUGCAAGAGGCCUAUCCCAGGCAAGGCCUGCUUGGAGAGCCAGGAUGGGCUGAAUUCUUAGAUGGCAACCAGAACAAACAUUCGAUCUGCCAGGCAAGAAGCCAAGCAAUGACUGCCAAGCUGACCCGGAAAAAGAGGCCCUGGGCUCCUAACAGGGUGAUGGGAGGGGUCCUCUGAGAAGGGCAGGGACAAGGAGCCACGGGUUUGGAUCCUGGAGAUGAAGCUAGCAAUGGAUUAUACACAAACGGAAGGAGGAAGAGGAUCUGGUCACAGCUGUCCCGUGCACAGAAACCCAGAAACUGGCUCGUCCAUGUCAAAGGAGAAGCAAAGAUGAACACAAGAAUCUCAGAACGUCCAGGAACUACAGCCUUCAGCUGGCCACCUGCAUCCCUCUGUCACAAAGGGUAACUAGUGGGUCAGCACAGCCUGCAAGACACAGGGAGCCUCCCGAUGCAGCACCAGAUCCCAGGGCCGGCUGAGCUGAUGCGGGGGUGGGGGACAGGAUGGCGUGCAUGGGCACCCUGAGGCUCACUGGGAUUCUGGGCCUAAGCAAAGACCAGCUCCAGGAACUCGAUAGACAGAGCCUGAGCAGGUGACAUGCCCGCCUGAGCCCGGUAGCUUCUCAGGUAGCAGGCUGGCGUCAGGGGGCUUUAUCAGACCAGAGAAGAACAGCCGGGACGGGACUCCAGAGCAGAGGCCACUGGGGAAAGUCAGGAGCUUAUGAGGCGAGGAAAGGAGGAAAAUGAAAGAAUUCCACCAAGAAGUAGGCAUGAAGACAGGAGUUUCGGUUUGCAAAUGACAUUAGCUUUUGCUACCAGUCCCAGGGAAGGUGGAGCCUGGCUAUUACUCAGCUAGAGGGAGGCAGAGGUCUAGGAAGAGCCCCUUGCCCUGCCCAGGCCAUGAGACCCAGCUGUUUCGGAAAACCCCAGUACCGUGCCCUCCCUCUCUCCCGCUAUUUGCCAUCAGUGGGAAGAGAAGGCAUGCUAGCAGAGGUGAACCAGAGUGUAGGCAGGCGCGAGCAGGAGGUGAGAAAAUAACCAGGAGGCCAGCAGGUGGUGUGGUGGUUAAGGGCACUGAACUCCCACAGGGGAGACUAUUCAAGCCCCAGACCUGGCUGCUUGCUUUCUCUCUCUCUCACUCUGUCCCCCUCUGAUCAAAUUAAAGUAAGUAGAUAAAUAAUUUAAAAAGAAGAAAGUAACUAUGAACAGCUCUUCAAGUGGGAAUGCAGCCUGCGGACAUGUAAAUGGCUAAGAGAUGGCUGUCUCAGUGAAGUGUCCCCUUCAGGAGAAAACCGGAAAUGGCACGGGAGGAGGGGCCCAGUGCGCGCCCAGAUGCAGGGCCCUCGGCCCUGAGAAGUGAUCCUCCCCACCCCUCAACCUGCUCCCCACUGGCAGGCUGACUGCCUGCGAGGGCCAAGCAGCGUCCGGCAGGGAGGCUCAGCCCGAGUCCUUGCGCUUAUGCACGUCUUCUACAGCACAGCCGGGUCCUGUCUACAGCACUGGGACGAGACAAACCCAGGACAGGCUUUCGAGGAAGGCCAUCCUCUCCGGCAGCUGCCAGCAUGUUAAUUCGUUAAAAACAAAAACCAGAAUUCCCAAUUCAGACUUAUUCUCUGUGCAAUAUUUAACAAGGCCUAUGAAGUAUGUCAAUUUUACUGUUUUGUAUGCAUGCAACCCUGGAUACUUUUAAAAAUCAUUAUUUCACUUGCUCCUCAUAAACUUGUGAGAAACCUGCAAAGUGAGUUACUCUCAUCUCUUUUUUUUGGAGAGG